UACGAAGGGGGCUAGCGUUGUUCGGAACUACUGGGCGUAAAGCGUGCGCAGGCGGCCUCUCAAGUCAGGGGUGAAAGCCCAGAGCUCAACUCUGGAAUUGCCUUUGAGACUGAGUGGCUUGAGUACGGGAGAGGUGAGUGGAAUUCCCAGUGUAGAGGUGAAAUUCGUAGAUAUCGGGAGGAACACCGGUGGCGAAGGCGGCGACCUGGGUCGAUACUGACGCUGAGGUGCGAAAGCGUGGGGAGCAAACAGG
rnacentral:rRNA from 1 species